UCCUGGCUCAGAUUGAACGCUGGCGGCAUGCCUUACACAUGCAAGUCGAACGGCAGCGGACCUUCGGGUGCCGGCGAGUGGCGAACGGGUGAGUAAUAUAUCGGAACGUACCUUUCAGUGGGGAUAACGUAGCGAAAGUUACGCUAAUACCGCAUAUUCUGUGAGCAGGAAAGCAGGGGAUCGCAAGACCUUGCGCUGAUUGAGCGGCCGAUAUCAGAUUAGCUAGUUGGUGAGGUAAAGGCUCACCAAGGCGACGAUCUGUAGCGGGUCUGAGAGGAUGAUCCGCCACACUGGAACUGAGACACGGUCCAGACUCCUACGGGAGGCAGCAGUGGGGAAUUUUGGACAAUGGGCGCAAGCCUGAUCCAGCCAUGCCGCGUGAGUGAAGAAGGCCUUCGGGUUGUAAAACUCUUUCGGCCGGGAAGAAAUCGCACAGGUUAAUACCCUGUGUGGAUGACGGUACCGGAAUAAGAAGCACCGGCUAACUACGUG
rnacentral:rRNA from 1 species